CGCGGGGCGCCCGGGCCGGGGCCAGCCGGGGAGCCGGAAUGCGCAGCCUGACUAAUCCCAUCUAUUGCUGCUCUCCUGGCUCCGAGGUGACAGAGAGGAAGGAAUCAGAAUCCCAGGCUGGUUUGGGUUGGAAGGCUGGAUUUUAAGGCAUUUGGACUUAGAGGAGUAUCAGAUUUUCAGGGCUCUCAGUGUGUCCUGGUUUGGAUUGCUCUUCAGGCAGAGUUUCCCAGAAGCGGGUGUGCAGGCUGCUGGACACCAUUCCACGGGAGCCUGGUGCCCAGCUCGUGGGCUGUGCCAUGGACCUGGAUUCCAGGCAGAAACUCCUCCCUGACUCUGCUCCCUGGGCUGCAAAGACAAAGCAGAA